AGUGAAGCGGAAUAAGCUCAGCACCGAAGCCGGCUGUCGAGAGGCGGUCGUGCAAUGUGGUGUUUGGGAGGGCUCUGUCCGUGUCCGGUGUCGGUCCAAGUCUUCUGGAAAGGAGUUCCGCGGAGGGUGACAGGCCCGUGCGACCGAUCUACCGCGUUCGCGGACGAGUCCUCCUUCGAGUCGGGUUGUUCGCUAAUGCAGCCCCAAGCAGGUGGUAAGCUCCAUCUAAAGCUGAAUAUAACCACGAGUCCGAUAGUCAACAAGUACAGUGAUGGAAAGUUGAAAAGUACUCUGAAGAGAGAGUCAAAUAGUCCGUGAAGCUGCCAGUAUGGGAUUAAGCGCACGUAUGACGCGUGUCGUCCGCCAAAUAGGCGACUGUCCGCUGUGUGUCGGCGCCCAGUGUGAGUGUACUGUUUGCUCAGUCGCAUUCAUCUGACGCGACGUACUAUAUGGCGGGCAGAACGCUUCCCUUUGGUAGACAUUGACAGGUCGGGGCUUCGUUGUCCAUGGUCUUAUCUGCCGGCUGGUGAUUCACAGAGCCGUGUCGGGCGGUGGCACUGACUUCGGUCAUGUCUCCGUGCUCCGUCGAAUGUGCGCUAUAUGCGGCGACGGCCGGCUUGGUCUGCGAUGCAAUGCCAGUUCCGAUGGCGAACGACCGGACGACGGCCAGCGCAAAUCGAAACACCUGGUGUUUCGGCUCGGCCUUUGCGUCGUUAUGUGCGGCCCGUCUUGAAACACGGACCAAGGAGUCUAACAUGUGAGCGAGCGAUUGAGAUUGUCAAAUCUCAGACGCGCAAUGAAAGUGAAGUGUCGUCUGACGGCACGAGCGGAGAUUGGUCGUCAUCCGUGGCGGCCACGCAUCCGCGGGCCGCGCCAUCGGCUGGCUUGCUCUUCGCCUCGUGUGUCGAGCACUGCUGAGGCGCGGACCUAGAGCCCACACGUUGGGACCCGAAAGAUGGUGAACUAUGCCUGGCCAGGAUGAAGCCAGAGGAAACUCUGGUGGAGGUCCGCCGCGAUUCUGACGUGCAAAUCGAUCGUCUGAGCUGGGUAUAGGGGCGAAAGACCAAUCGAACCAUCUAGUAGCUGGUUCCGCCCGAAGUUUCCCUCAGGAUAGCUGGCGCUCGUGUGAUACGGAGUUUCAUCCGGUAAAGCGAAUGAUCAGAGGAGCUGGGCUCCUUGCGAGCUCAACCUAUUCUCAAACUUUCAAUGGGUGAGACGUCUCGCUGGCUUCACUGCAGCGACGACUCUGAAUCCGAGUGCCCAGUGGGCCACUUUUGGUAAGCAGAACUGGCGAUGCGGGAUGAACCGCAUGUCGAGUUAAGGUGCCUAAGCGAACGCAAAUUAGAUACCAUGAAAGGUGUUGAUUGCUCAUGACAGCAGGACGGUGGCCAUGGAAGUCGGCAUCCGCUAAGGAGUGUGUAACAACUCACCUGCCGAAGCAAUCAGCCCUGAAAAUGGAUGGCGCUAAAGCGUUCCACCGAUACUCGACCGUCGUCGGCAUGCGAUCGAUCUGUUCAGCCACAGUCUCUGUGAGACUGGCGUGACGAUCUGAAGCCACGACGAGUAGGGCGGCGCGGCGGUGAGCUUUGAAGGCGUAACCGUGAGGUUAGCUGGAGCCGCCGUCGGUGCAGAUCUUGGUGGUAGUAGCAAAUACACAAGCAAGAUCCUUGUGGACCGAUGUGGAGAAGGGUUCCGCGCGAACAGUAUUUGGACGUGGGUGAGUCGGCCCUAAGCCAACGGGUAAUUCCCGCAUCCCGUGUUACUCGCAACAUGAGUCGAACAACAUGGGUUGAU
rnacentral:rRNA from 1 species